rnacentral:rRNA from 1 species
UGCCAGCCGCCGCGGUAAUACGAAGGGACCUAGCGUAGUUCGGAAUUACUGGGCUUAAAGAGUUCGUAGGUGGUUGAAAAAGUUGGUGGUGAAAUCCCAGAGCUUAACUCUGGAACUGCCAUCAAAACUUUUCAGCUAGAGUUUGAUAGAGGAAAGCAGAAUUUCUAGUGUAGAGGUGAAAUUCGUAGAUAUUAGAAAGAAUACCAAUUGCGAAGGCAGAUCACUAAACCAUUACUGACGCUGAGGUACGAAAGCGUGGGGAGCGAACAGGAUUAGAUA